UAGAGGACAAGAAUGACCGAUCUGUGACCGGUCUGACACUGGUCGCGUCAGCAACGGGCAGCCACGAUCCCACGUUGCGCCUGUCUCCGCCGGGAGUGGAGGUAGGUGUGGGCUGUCCCAUCGGAGUGUCAUUCGGACAGCAACCAUACCAAUCUCCGUCCAUAAAGAGAAGAAAAGUCCAGUUUGGAAAGGGAAGGGUGCAUGUGGUAUCCCCUUGAAGUAUAAAAGGAGGACCUUGCCCAUAGAGAAGGGGUUGGUUGAUUCUUUUCCAGAUU
rnacentral:misc_RNA from 1 species